rnacentral:rRNA from 1 species
GCGGAGGGAUCAUUACC